CAGCCGCCGCGGUAAUACGGAGGGAGCUAGCGUUGUUCGGAAUUACUGGGCGUAAAGGGUGCGUAGGCGGUUUGAUAAGUCAUCAGUGAAAUCUAUGGGCUCAACCCAUAGUCUGCAGGCGAAACUGUCGGGCUUGAGUAUUGGAGAGGUGAGUGGAAUUUCCGGUGUAGCGGUGAAAUGCGUAGAUAUCGGAAGGAACACCUGUGGCGAAAGCGGCUCACUGGACAAUUACUGGCGCUGAUGCACGAAAGCGUGGGGAGCAAACAGGAUUAGAUACCCCCGUAGUCCCUGUCUCUUAUAC
rnacentral:rRNA from 1 species